rnacentral:rRNA from 1 species
AGUGAACGCUGGCGGUAGGCCUAACACAUGCAAGUCGAACGGCAGCACAGUAUGAGCUUGCUCUUACGGGUGGCGAGUGGCGGACGGGUGAGGAAUACAUCGGAAUCUACUUUUUCGUGGGGGAUAACGUAGGGAAACUUACGCUAAUACCGCAUACGACCUACGGGUGAAAGCAGGGGAUCUUCGGACCUUGCGCGAUUGAAUGAGCCGAUGUCGGAUUAGCUAGUUGGCGGGGUAAAGGCCCACCAAGGCGACGAUCCGUAGCUGGUCUGAGAGGAUGAUCAGCCACACUGGAACUGAGACACGGUCCAGACUCCUACGGGAGGCAGCAGUGGGGAAUAUUGGACAAUGGGCGCAAGCCUGAUCCAGCCAUACCGCGUGGGUGAAGAAGGCCUUCGGGUUGUAAAGCCCUUUUGUUGGGAAAGAAAAGCGGCAGGUUAAUACCCCGCUGUUCUGACGGUACCCAAAGAAUAAGCACCGGCUAACUUCGUG